UGGACGGUGGUGGCGGGGGUUGGCGUUGCAUUGUCUCUGGUUUGAAACUUGUCUGUCUCCACGGAAGCCUCUCUACCUGCUGCCCUUGGGGGCCUCUGCACCAGAGGGGCUUCCUGGAAAAGGUAUGAGAUUCCCAGGUGGCGCAGCAGUAGAGAGCCAGCCUGCCAAUGCAGGAGAUGCAAGAGAUGCAGGUAGCACUUGGUGCCCAGGCAGUAACGCCACAGGCCCUGGUGGGCGAAGGCCCCCGACAGCCGGUACUGCAUCCAGUGGUCUGUCGCCGUGGCCACCACCAGCAGGAUGGUCCCCACCCAGGCACAGAAGAGGCCGCCUCCCAUGAAGCUGUACAUGGUGAUCUGUGGGUGAGGGGAGAAAUGGGGUCACGAGCUGGACUGCCGGGUCCUGGGAGAGAAUCCAGUGCAGGGUCUCACUGAAUCAUCACAUCUCAGUCACCUCUGAUCUGCAGCCAUUUCAGUCUUUCCUUGUUUUUCACAACUUUGACAGCUUGGAGGACUACUAGUAAGUUUUUUUCCUUUUAAUAAAACAGAGGUCUUUUUAAAUUAAUAAUUCCAAUUUAUUAGUCCUCAUUUCACAAAGGUUCAAACUGGGCCUCAGAGAGGCUAAGUAAGUUACUCAAGGUCACAGAGCAGGUAAAUAGCACAACUGGGAUUUGAACCCCACCUCCAGUCUGCUUUUAAUGGAGACACAAGUAGAAGCUAGAUUGUAUAAUACCUUAUAGGCUGCAGUGAAGACUAUGGAAUUUUUAAAAUUUAAUUCUGGAACAUUGAUAUGACUUUGAACGUUUGGAGGCAGAGGUGUGACAUAAUUUAUGUUUUAAGAAGAGCACUGUGCCUGCCAUUUGGGGAGUGGAUUGUGGUGGGGCAUAAGCCUGGAAGCAGGAAGCCUAGAGAGAAUGCUGUCAUCCUCUAGGCAAGUGGUGACAACCUCAAGGAUGGUGUGGUUAAUGGGGAUGGGAAGAUGUGAGUGCAUUUACAAUGUAUUUUGGAAGGAGACCAUCAGGAUUUGCUGUAGGGCUGCUGGAGGUGAGUAAUGGGGAAUCAAGGAUGAUGCAAAGUUUUCAACCUGAGCGACACCUUUGAAUAUGAAUUUUCUUAUAAAAGCUCACAACAUCCCACUGUAAGGAUGAGAAAUCGGAGAGAAGCUUUCAUUUUCCGAGUUCUCUUGAGCUAACUCUACAUGAUGCUGGGGACUCCAGGUAGAUGCUGAACCAGUAGCUGCUCUUCAAGGGCUCUCAAGGUUUGAGGGGGUGAAAUCCACGGUAGCAUUCUGGGGUGAUGGAAGCUGGGACACUGGGAGGGACAGGACAGUGAGAGCUGGAAGUGGGUUAAACAUAGCCUGGAGGCCAGGAGGUGGAGGGUCAAGUCGGGGGCCAGGAAAACAGUUGCUCGCUUGCUACGGGCUGGAGAAGAAGAUAGGGGAGGGGUUUUUUUGUUUGCUUGUUUUUAAAGGAGGGGCCUUUAGACUAGGUCUAGAGUGAAUGGACGUAGAAAAAAUGGUGCGAGCAAAGGCCAGGUGGCUGGAAUAGAAAAGAUUUUAUCAAGAAAGCUGACUUUCUUUUCUGGCAGCUAUGAUUAGCAUUCAGGUCUCAUUAUUCCGGGUACAGUCUAUCCCAAAGAAGAAGUUUUUGUUGAACACGGCUCCAAAAUGAUGGUUCGAAUCCUUGCUUUGCUUUUUACCAGCUCUUGCCAUAGAACAAACUUAAGUCUGUUUUUUUGCAACAUAAAACUCAGUCCCAGCAUAACGGCACUGCUUCUGGUUUUGUUUCCUAACGGUUCCUCCUAUUUCUGCGAUCAGGGUCCGACCUCGUCACUUACAAG